UUAAAUUGAAGAGUUUGAUCAUGGCUCAGAUUGAACGCUGGCGGCAGGCCUAACACAUGCAAGUCGAACGGUAACAGGAAGCAGCUUGCUGCUUUGCUGACGAGUGGCGGACGGGUGAGUAAUGUCUGGGAAACUGCCUGAUGGAGGGGGAUAACUACUGGAAACGGUGGCUAAUACCGCAUAACGUCGCAAGACCAAAGAGGGGGACCUUCGGGCCUCUUGCCAUCAGAUGUGCCCAGAUGGGAUUAGCUUGUUGGUGAGGUAACGGCUCACCAAGGCGACGAUCCCUAGCUGGUCUGAGAGGAUGACCAGCCACACUGGAACUGAGACACGGUCCAGACUCCUACGGGAGGCAGCAGUGGGGAAUAUUGCACAAUGGGCGCAAGCCUGAUGCAGCCAUGCCGCGUGUAUGAAGAAGGCCUUCGGGUUGUAAAGUACUUUCAGCGGGGAGGAAGGUGUUGUGGUUAAUAACCGCAGCAAUUGACGUUACCCGCAGAAGAAGCACCGGCUAACUCCGUGCCAGCAGCCGCGGUAAUACGGAGGGUGCAAGCGUUAAUCGGAAUUACUGGGCGUAAAGCGCACGCAGGCGGUCUGUCAAGUCGGAUGUGAAAUCCCCGGGCUCAACCUGGGAACUGCAUUCGAAACUGGCAGGCUUGAGUCUUGUAGAGGGGGGUAGAAUUCCAGGUGUAGCGGUGAAAUGCGUAGAGAUCUGGAGGAAUACCGGUGGCGAAGGCGGCCCCCUGGACAAAGACUGACGCUCAGGUGCGAAAGCGUGGGGAGCAAACAGGAUUAGAUACCCUGGUAGUCCACGCCGUAAACGAUGUCUACUUGGAGGUUGUGCCCUUGAGGCGUGGCUUCCGGAGCUAACGCGUUAAGUAGACCGCCUGGGGAGUACGGCCGCAAGGUUAAAACUCAAAUGAAUUGACGGGGGCCCGCACAAGCGGUGGAGCAUGUGGUUUAAUUCGAUGCAACGCGAAGAACCUUACCUGGUCUUGACAUCCACAGAACUUUCCAGAGAUGGAUUGGUGCCUUCGGGAACUGUGAGACAGGUGCUGCAUGGCUGUCGUCAGCUCGUGUUGUGAAAUGUUGGGUUAAGUCCCGCAACGAGCGCAACCCUUAUCCUUUGUUGCCAGCGGUCCGGCCGGGAACUCAAAGGAGACUGCCAGUGAUAAACUGGAGGAAGGUGGGGAUGACGUCAAGUCAUCAUGGCCCUUACGACCAGGGCUACACACGUGCUACAAUGGCGCAUACAAAGAGAAGCGACCUCGCGAGAGCAAGCGGACCUCAUAAAGUGCGUCGUAGUCCGGAUUGGAGUCUGCAACUCGACUCCAUGAAGUCGGAAUCGCUAGUAAUCGUGGAUCAGAAUGCCACGGUGAAUACGUUCCCGGGCCUUGUACACACCGCCCGUCACACCAUGGGAGUGGGUUGCAAAAGAAGUAGGUAGCUUAACCUUCGGGAGGGCGCUUACCACUUUGUGAUUCAUGACUGGGGUGAAGUCGUAACAAGGUAACCGUAGGGGAACCUGCGGUUGGAUCACCUCCUUACCUGAAAGAA
rnacentral:rRNA from 2 species